rnacentral:rRNA from 1 species
UGCGAGUCGGAUAUUGGGCGUAAGGGCUCGCAGGCGGUUUCUUAAGUCUGAUGUGAAAGCCCCCGGCUCAACCGGGGAGGGUCAUUGGAAACUGGGAAACUUGAGUGCAGAAGAGGAGAGUGGAAUUCCACGUGUAGCGGUGAAAUGCGUAGAGAUGUGGAGGAACACCAGUGGCGAAGGCGACUCUCUGGUCUGUAACUGACGCUGAGGAGCGAAAGCGUGGGGAGCGAACAGGAUUAGAUACCCUGGUAGUCCACGCCGUAAACGAUGAGUGCUAAGUGUUAGGGGGUUUCCGCCCCUUAGUGCUGCAGCUAACGCAUUAAGCACUCCGCCUGGGGAGUACGGUCGCAAGACUGAAACUCAAAGGAAUUGACGGGGGCCCGCACAAGCGGUGGAGCAUGUGGUUUAAUUCGAAGCAACGCGAAGAACCUUACCAGGUCUUGACAUCCUCUGACAACCCUAGAGAUAGGGCUUUCCCUUCGGGGACAGAGUGACAGGUGGUGCAUGGUUGUCGUCAGCUCGUGUCGUGAGAUGUUGGGUUAAGUCCCGCAACGAGCGCAACCCUUGAUCUUAGUUGCCAGCAUUCAGUUGGGCACUCUAAGGUGACUGCCGGUGACAAACCGGAGGAAGGUGGGGAUGACGUCAAAUCAUCAUGCCCCUUAUGACCUGGGCUACACACGUGCUACAAUGGACAGAACAAAGGGCU